AAUAAAUUACUGUUAAACCUAAGUAAAACAAAAGCUAUGAUUUUUGGUAAUUAUAAACAUAGAAAUGAAUUACAAAUUAUUAUUGAUUGUGUACAAAUUGAAAAUGUAUCAGAAAACAAAUUUCUAGGUGUAAUUAUGGACAGCAAAUUAUCAUGGAAAGCCCACAUCAGGCACAUAAAAACUAAAAUAUCUAAGAACCUCUCUAUUAUAAAUAAAGCUAAGCAGUCCCUUGUCCACCAUG